rnacentral:lncRNA from 1 species
UUUUUCGUUCAUUGACUUUUUUUAGUUUUCUGAAUUUGUUUUUAUUUAAAAUAAUUUUAAUUAUAUAACUAUUAAAUUAAUCCUUGCAUAGAAUUUCAAAUAAUGGUAAAUGUUCCUUGGAUUUCUAUCCAAUUCCCCUUUUCUUUCCAAAUGAGUAAUCACUGUUAGCUUUACUGUUAAUAUGUAUUGAUAUAUGCACAUAUAAAAUACAUAAAUACAUAUAUACAUAUAAAAUAUGUGACCUUUGUGUACUUAUAUUUAUUUUACAUAAAUAGAAUUAUACACCAAUGAUAUUUUUUCCUUAACUAUUUUCUUAAUAAUCUUUUCAUGUCAGUAAUAGAGAUCUGCUAUAACAGUUCAGCGUUAUUUUAUUCUCUUUUAACAAAUCCACCCACUAUGGAUAUUUGAGUUACCUCCAUUUUGUUUUGUUUGUUUUGUUUUAUUCUCUCCUGUUUUUUUAAAGACUUGAUUUUUUUACAGCAGUUUUAGGUUCAUAAUGACAUUGAGCAGAAGGCACAGAGAUAUUGCUUAUACUCCCUUCCCCUACACAUGCAUAGUGUCCCCUAUUCUCAACAUUCUGCAGCAGAAUGGUAUAUGUCUUAUAAUUGAUUAAUUUACCCUGCCACAUAAUUGGCACCCAAAUUUCAUAGUUUACAUUAGAGUUUACUCUUUGGUGUUGCACAUUCUAUGGGUUUGGACAAAUAUAUAAAGGCAUGUAUCCACUUUAAUAUCAUACACAGUAUUUUCAGUGUCACAAAAAUUCUUUGUGGUCCAUCUAUUCAUCUUCCCUCAUGCAUCCUCCAUUUUUAAUAUUACUGUCAAUUUGUGUCUAUUAAUAUUUACUUUAUAUAUUUAGGUGCUCCUGUAAUGGGUGAAUAAAUAUUUAUGAAUGCUAUAUCUUCUUGAAUUCAUCCUUUUAUCAUUAGGUAAUACCCUUCUUUGUUUUGUUACAGUCUUUGUUUUAAAGUCUAUUUUGUCUGAUAUGAGUAUUGCUCCACCAGCUUUUUUUUCACAGCCAUGUGCAUGAAAUACCUUUUUCCAUUCCCUCAAUUUCAGUCUACAUUUGUCUUUAGGUCUUCAGUUUCUUGUCCCCAGUAUAUAAUGAGUCUUGAUUUUUAACUAUUUAGCCACCUUAUGUCUUUUUAUUAGAGUAUUUAAACCAUUUACAUUUAAAGUAAUUAUUGAUAGGUAUGUAUUUACUGUCAUUUUGUUUAUUGUUUUCUGGUUGGUCAUCUUCCAUUUUUUACCAUUGGAAAAAAUGCCAUAAAACUCAAUGAACAUGACUAUACACUAUUUUUUUUCCUAGGAUAUUAUAUUAGCCCAGACUGCCGUAACAAAAUACUAUAGACUAGUGGCUUAAAGAAGAGAAAUUUAUUCCGCCACAAUUCUGGAGGCUGGAAGUCUGAGAUCAGGGUGCUAUCUUGUGAGAUUCUGGUGAGAGUUUUCUUCAUGGCUUGCAGAGAGCAUGUUUCUUAUUUAUUUAUUUAUUUAUUUAUUUAUUUAUUUAUUUAUUUAUGAUAGUCACACAGAGAGAGAGAGAGAGAGAGAGAGAGGCAGAGACACAGGCAGAGGGAGAAGCAGGCUCCAUGCACCGGGAGCCCGACGUGGGACUCGAUCCCGAGUCUCCAGGAUUGCGCCCUGGGCCAAAGGCAGGCGCCAAACCGCUGCGCCACCCAGGGAUCCCAGAGAGCAUGUUUCUUAUUGUGAUGUCAUAUAGCAGAGACAAAGAAAGUAAGCUCCCUCAUGUCUUUCUUUGAAAGGAUCCACCCUCAUGACUUCAUCUAACCCUAAUUACUUCCAUAAGUCCCCAUUUCCUAAUAUCAUCACAUUAGAAGCAAAAAUCUCAAGAUAUGAAUUUUGUAGACACAAUAACAUUCAGUACAUAGUAGAUACAUACUUGGGAGGUGUUGCGUGGAAGGUUCUACCAGAUUGUUUCCUGAAAGGACUACUAACUUACCCGAAUACCAAAAUGCUUGAAACUAUCCUAUGCCCAACACCACUGCCAUUGGAUUUUCAAUCUUUCUUAAUUGUUUACAAUUUUCUGAGGAACAUUUACUAUCUCAUUGUUUUAAUUUGUACUUAAGAGGUACAAUGAGGUUUUAGGACAUGCAAUGUUCAUUGGUUCUAUGCACUUUAUCUUUGAAUUACCUACUCAUUUCCUCUGCUCAUUUUCCUGUUGUGUUUUUGUGCUGUGUUGUUUGGAGGAGUUCUUUAUAUAUUUUGAAUAUGAUCCACUGUAAACUCUGUGAUGGCAGAAGAUUUUUUUAUCUACUUUGUUCACUGUUAGAUCCCCAGGGCCUAAAACAGCAUCUGGCACAUAUUGUAGGUUCAAUAAAUGUUUGCUGGAAGAAUGAAUAAGAAAGUGAAGAGAUAAAGAAGUUGUAAACGUUUUUUUCAGUAGUGCUUGUCUUGACUUUAUAGUGUCCAAUUUAAACAAAAGUUUUAAAACUUCAAUAUGAUUAUAUUUAUUUAUUCUGCUAAAUAUUCUACAGUGUGUCUUAUAAUUAUUUCAACUAAAGAUUGUAAACAUAUUCUCCUUUAUUUUCCUCUAAUUCUAUGCUACUUUUUCCUACUUUAUUCAUGCUUAGUCAAUUUAAUCCAUUUUUCUUUGCUCAUGAUCUCUAUAGUCUGAAUACAGCAGUAAUUGUAUUUAUAUAUAUUAAUUAAGAAAUCAAUUUUAUUUAAUAUCAUGGUACAAUCUUUAUAUAAAAUCACAUUACAGACAUAAUUUUUUAUGGUUGAAAAACUUAAAAUACAAUGUGACUGCAUUUUAUCUUGGAUCCUGCCCUCCCAAUGCACAUUCAAACAUGGAGUGGUACAUAAGGUUAUGUUUCUGUAAUAGUGUACUUUGAUAGUCACAGCAAUCUCAAGAAAGGGGCUCCAGGAAAUAUUUUAUAAGACAGGACACUAUUUCCAUUUGUAUUCAACUUAUUAUUUAAAAUUAAAUUACAAAAAAAUUAAAUUAAAUUAAAUUAAAUUACACAGUAGAUUGGGCUCUGGAUAAAAUAUUCUAAAUAAGAUAGAUAAUGUCAACACCACUAUUUCUUUGCAUGCCUGCUAAGUAAAACUCACAGAAGCAAAACACUAGGAUAUGAUAUCAAGCAAAGCUUUCAGAAACUUAGCAAAAGUAUAUGUUUGGGGAAAAAAAGUGAGGUGUACACACCAAAGUUACCUUGAGAACAAGAACAGAAAAGUCUCCUGUGAAUGUUUCUUAUCAGCAAUAUACUCUGGAAAAGAUUAACAGUCAUAUCUGUCUUUUUGACCACAUCCCCACUCCUGAGUAGUAGCACUGUCAACACAUAAUAUGAAAGCCAUCAAUACAUGUUGACAGUGUUUGCACUCCAGGUGGUGAGAAACUCUAUGAGCUGAGGAAGGAAAUACAAAGAUCAGGAAGUAAUAUCUUGGACUGAGAUGAGAAGUAGAACAAACUAUGGAAGAAGGGAGAUGGAAGCAUCUAAAGUGAUCUAAAUAAGAGAGAAGAGAGAACUGAUCAUUUAAAGAACAGAGACAAUACAUGCAUAUUAAUUUAAAUCAAAACAAAAGCACCUGUUAUAUUAUUUAUUAAAGGACUGCAUACAAAGAUGAUUCGUGCAGGUAUUAUCCAUGUGUAGUCAUCCACUGGAAAGGCCAGCACAUGACUAAGAACUUUUCCUUUGGCUGAAUAAUUAUUUAUAUAGUACUUUUCUUCUGUAAGUAAAAAUUACUAAUCAAAUGUAACCUGAUCAAUUCUGAACUAUAUUGUAGAAAAGAAGUUAACAGAUGGAAUCACUUCACUGAGAGAGAAGUAAAUGAGACAGAGGGAUGUAAAAUGACUUCCUAAAAAAAGACAGUCUACCCAUAAAGAGUAUGCACGUCUAUUUAUUUAAUAAAAUCUACUAGCUAUUUGAUAGGUAUCUAUUGAACAUAGUUCUGGCAAGCCUAAGUUUUAGAUUCAGAAAUUAAAUUCUGCCCUUGAUAAUUUAACACCACUUAAUGUCCCAUGAUCCACACAAAAUGGCAGCUACACAUGAGUCAAACGAAGACAGUAUGCACCUAAAAGUGAUUUAGCCAGUAAAUUACCAUUUCCACCAGUUUUAAAAUCAAAUCUGCCUCUAAUUUAGCUUUAUAAAUUGGAAGUAUAUAUAUUGGAAUCAUCUCCAACUGCUAACAAAAUACUUUUAAAAACACACAAAUGUGUUGUUUGGAAAAUAUAUUAAAUUCAACAAAUAUUGAUUGAGCAACUACUGUGUGCCAGCAGCUAGAAACAAUAAGGUAACUGGAAAAUGGUCCCUGUUCCUAAGGUGCUGACAAUCUAAUAAAGUCUGUUUGGGAGAGUUUUAUAGAGCUCAAGAGGCAAGAGAGACAUUAAACUCUGCUUGAACAGCAGAGGCAUCUGAAGAACUGGUGAAGUGGUGUUAAAUUAUCUGAAGAACUUUCUAAUAGAGGGAGCAUCACAUGUAAAAACACAGUAUAUAAAUAGCAUGGUAAGAGUUCUAGAUGGUGUUGUGUUGAAUCUGAAAGGAGCAGGAGAUGAAAGCUAGGGAAUCAGUCAGGGUUUAAUGUGUUAUAUAUGAGAAUUCAGAGUGUAUUUCAUAGUCCCUGGUCACUUGAUUUCCUCUGUGAAGAAAAAAAAAAAAAGCUCCUUCAAUAUUCUACCUUUGUUCAUAAACAUAUCCAUGUCACUCUUCUCUUUUCCAAUCUUCAUUGCACUGGAUGACUAAACCUUCCCUGAUUCUUGAUUAUCAUUCUCUGACCUUACUUCGUCAUUUAAUCUCUUCCUCUGGCUUCAGUUUUAUUGGCAUCUUCCUUAAAAACUAUAUACACAUUCCUAUCCUUAAAAACAAAAACAAACAAAAAACCCAUCACCUCUGAGGCUUCAUCUCUUUUCAGAACUAGGCACCUCAAGCUCUUCAAAAGAAGUUUCUCCACACAGCUUCUGUUUUCUUUCCUCCACUGAUACCUUAGUUGAUUUCUCUUCUGCAUUUGACAUUACUCAUCACUCCUCUGAUGCUCUUGUGACCAUCAUGUUCAUACUCAUCCAAAAAUAACCAAUUGUUUGCUCUUCUCCUUCUCCAGCUGUCCCUUUUUAGUCUCUUUUGCUAUGUUAUCCCCUGAAUUACUACCAUUCUCCCUUCUCUCUAAUAAAGGAAAAUCCUCAGUGAUAUUACUUCCCCUUGGGUAAUAAUGCUUCUCUCUUGUUACAACUAUCUUUCUGUUAUCUCCAAACUUUGUUCUUAUCAGUCUAAUCUAUACUUGUCCGCACUUACUGUUCUCAAUCUCCCUUUACUUCACCCAUCAGUUUGAAACCCCAACACUGGACUAAAUCUGUUCUGCCAACUGUUACAGAUGUUCACUUAUUCAGGAAGUCUAAUCAUGUCAGGUCUUUUGCUUGCUCAAUCACUUACAGAAGUCAACACUUUGUUCUUUGCUGAACAUUUCCUAUUAUCUGAAUCGAUGGCUCUCAAAAUAUCUCCUGGUUCUCCCCUAACCACUCAGAUUAAUCUUCUACCUCAGCCUCUAUCUAAAAGUUAAAUAUUCUCUCAUGUUCAGAUCUCUUGACUAUAUCCCUGGAUAAGACCAGCCUGAUAUCUUAAGAACAUUCACCUAGACCAGAACCCCAAAUGAUAAAGGAAUGGCUGUUGAACAUUUGGUAUUGGAAUAAUUUUUUCUU